AGCAGCCGCGGUAAUUCCAGCUCCAAUAGCGUAUAUUAAAGUUGUUGCAGUUAAAAAGCUCGUAGUUGAAUUUCGGGAUCAAUAUGUUGGUCGUACCUUGGUACGUACUAAUUUAUUGGUUUCUUCCUUCUGACGAACCUUGAUGUCAUUAAUUUGGUGUCUUGGGGAAUCAGGACUGUUACUUUGAAAAAAUUAGAGUGUUUAAAGCAGGCUCACGCUUGAAUACAUUAGCAUGGAAUAAUGAAAUAGGACGUUUGAUUCUAUUUUGUUGGUUUCUAGGAUUGACGUAAUGAUUAAUAGGGAUAGUUGGGGGUAUUAGUAUUCAAUUGUCAGAGGUGAAAUUCUUGGAUUUAUUGAAGACUAACUACUGCGAAAGCAUUUGCCAAGGAUGUUUUCAUUAAUCAAGAACGAAAGUUAGGGGAUCGAAGACGAUCAGAUACCGUCGUAGUCUUAACCAUAAACUAUGCCGACUAGGGAUCGGAUGAUGUUAAUUUUUUAAUGACUCAUUCGGCGCCUUACG
rnacentral:rRNA from 1 species